rnacentral:rRNA from 1 species
GUGAGGAAUUUUGCGCAAUGGGGGCAACCCUGACGCAGCGACGCCGCGUGGAGGACGAAGUCUUUCGGGAUGUAAACUCCUGUCAGUGGGGACGAUAAUGACGGUACCCACAGAGGAAGCACCGGCUAACUCCGUGCCAGCAGCCGCGGUAAGACGGAGGGUGCAAGCGUUGUUCGGAAUUACUGGGCGUAAAGCGUAUGUAGGCGGCAAGUUAAGUUCAAUGUUAAAGCCCACGGCUCAACCGAGGAGAUGCAUUGAAAUACUGGCUAGCUAGAGGGUGUUAGAGGAAGACGGAAUUCCCAGUGUAGCGGUGAAAUGCGUAGAUAUUGGGAGGAACAUCGGUAGCGAAAGCGGUCUUCUGGGACAUACCUGACGCUGAGGUACGAAAGCGUGGGGAGCAAACGGGAUUAGAAACCCCUGUAGUCC